rnacentral:rRNA from 1 species
GAUGAACGCUGGCGGCGUGCCUAAUACAUGCAAGUCGAGCGAGCAGAUGAGGAGCUUGCUCCUCUGACGUUAUAGGCGGAGGGGAGAGUAACACGGGGAUAAAAUAACUAUAAGACUGGGAUAAUUUCGGGAAACAGGAGCUAAUACCGGAUAAUAUAUUGAACUUGAUGGUUCAAUAGUUAGAGAAGGUUUUGGUGUGGGUUAUAGAUUGAUACGCGGAGGAUUCACUAGUUGUUAAGGUAGAGGCUUACCAAGGCAACGAGGCUUAACCGACCUGAGCGGGAGAACGGACACACUGGAUCUGAGACACGGCACAGACUCCUACGCGAGGAAGCAGUAGGGAAUCCUCCGCGAGGCGCGAAAGGGUGACGUAGCAACGCCGCGUAAGUCAUGAAGCUCUUCUGAUCGGAAAGCUCUGAUAUUAUUGAAGAUCAAAUGUUUAAGUAACCAUGCUCGUCUUGACGGUACCGAAUCAGAAAGCCACGGCUAACUACGUG